AGAAUCAACGCUGGCGGCGUGCCUAACACAUGCAAGUCGAACGAGAAAGUGGUAGCAAUACCAUGAGUAAAGUGGCGCACGGGUGAGUAACACGUGACUAACCUACCCUUGAGUGGGGGAUAACUGAGGGAAACCUUAGCUAAUACCGCAUAAUACCCACGGGUCAAAGGAGCAAUUCGCUCGAGGAGGGGUCGCGGCCGAUUAGUUAGUUGGCGGGGUAAUGGCCCACAAGACGAUGAUCGGUA
rnacentral:rRNA from 1 species